GCAAAAUAAAAAAUUAGUCUUACAACUAUCAACUGUAUGAACACAUUACAAUUACAAUAGUCAAAUCUAAGAAAGAUAAUAUAAAAUGAAAAUGAAAAUGAAAGAAUCAAUAAUUAUAAGCUGUCUAUUUCCUUUACAUUCAACUUUUGGCUAACUUGAGAGCGAAAGGACAUGUGGGAUUGUGGGUCUUCAAAUGGUAAACCCUACCCACCUCCCUCAUAACUAUUACAAGCUCCUAUUUCGGUGCCACCAUGACCAUGACCUAUUUUCGGGUUUGAUUUUCCGAACCAGUAUAAGUUGAAAGCACAUCUAACUCUUCAGUAAUUCAACUUGUUCAUAUUUCAUACUGGUUUAGAAGUUAUACGAUGUGAAAUCUAUCUCCUUUGGUGAUACUCAUGUGCUGUGUACUAUUGUCUUUUAUAUUAUGUGCAGUUCUCUUUUGUCUGGUGAUCAAACACCGCACCACCCAAAUUUGCUAGGCCUUCUAUGGUAAUAACCGUGAUGAAGCACCUAUUUUGCUUUUGAGUGGAAAGUAAUUCGUAGACAUUUGUAUAAUACAGACAUUCAAUAUACAUCUAAAGUGAGAAAGAUAAAAUCAGUAAUAAACAUGAUAUGUGGCUAUUACAUCACUCAAAAUAUUCAGUAUAAUAUUUAUAUCUCACAACCUCAACCCAUGCUCAACCUUGCCCCCAUUGUUGUGACUCGUCUCUUUCGACCCUCAAGUUGUGACUCUCUCGACCCUCACGGCUCACACAGCCUUGGCGUUGUUGGUGGUUGUGCACUAUCUUUGUUCUUGGCCUUGCUCUUGGUUGAUGUAUUCCAUUCAUCUCCCUAUUGGAGUUCAAUGUCGCUGCUCAGUUCAACACAAAAGAACGGAUGUAAGUGGUAGUGUAUGAGGACAAGUGCCCUCACUUGAUUUUGGAAAAAAUCAUUAGAAAAAAAAUUUAAGUAGUAAAAAUUUGUGUUUUUGAUUGUCCCUUUGAUAAAAAAAAUCACUUGUGUCUCACAUUACUAAAUGCUCUCACUUGUGUCUCAUAUUGCUAAGGGAUAACUAUCAUAUUAGUCCCUGUCUUUGUCUCACCGUCUGAGGUAAGUCCCUC
rnacentral:lncRNA from 1 species